rnacentral:rRNA from 1 species
UACGAAGGACCCGAGCGUUAUCCGGAUUUAUUGGGUUUAAAGGGUGCGUAGGCGGAUUUAUAAGUCAGUGGUGAAAGCCUAUAGCUUAACUAUAGAAUUGCCAUUGAUACUGUAAGUCUUGAGUACAGUUGAGGUGGGCGGAAUGUGCAGUGUAGCGGUGAAAUGCUUAGAUAUUGCACAGAACACCAAUUGCGAAGGCAGCUCGCUAAGCUGUAACUGACGCUGAGGCACGAAAGCGUGGGGAUCAAACAGG